rnacentral:rRNA from 1 species
GAUGAACGCUGGCGGCGUGCCUAAUACAUGCAAGUCGAGCGAACAGACGAGGAGCUUGCUCCUCUGACGUUAGCGGCGGACGGGUGAGUAACACGUGGAUAACCUACCUAUAAGACUGGGAUAACCUCGGGAAACCGGAGCUAAUACCGGAUAAUAUAUUGAACCGCAUGGUUCAAUAGUGAAAGACGGUUUUGCUGUCACUUAUAGAUGGAUCCGCGCCGCAUUAGCUAGUUGGUAAGGUAACGGCUUACCAAGGCAACGAUGCGUAGCCGACCUGAGAGGGUGAUCGGCCACACUGGAACUGAGACACGGUCCAGACUCCUACGGGAGGCAGCAGUAGGGAAUCUUCCGCAAUGGGCGAAAGCCUGACGGAGCGACGCCGCGUGAGUGAUGAAGGUCUUCGGAUCGUAAAACUCUGUUAUUAGGGAAGAACAAAUGUGUAAGUAACUAUGCACGUCUUGACGGUACUUAAUCAGAAAGCCACGGCUAACUACGUG